UUAAUUUAUUCACUCAAUCACCUGUAUACCAAAUAUGUAUUAAGUAUCUGUUAUGUGCCAGGAACCUGUUCCAGGUUCAGAGAAUACAGUGAAUAAACAGACUGAACCCUGCUCUCAAUGAACAUCUUCAUGUUACUUGAUAUGAGUUCAUUCCUUGAACUAGAACAUCAAUAAGAUGCUGGAGUUUAAUCAACCACAGCAGACUGUGAGGUGGAAGCCACUUGGUGAUUGUGAGCCAGCACCAAGAUCGAAGGCAUUUGGAUCCCUGGUGAUCACAGACCCAGCAUGUCAUCUCUGCAAAGGUCUUUGAGCAGGAGCCCAAGGAAGGAAAAAUAAGGACACACAUUUUUGGCUGGAUUAGUAACAUCUUUCCUUUGUCUUCAUCCACCAGUGUUCUUGCUUCCCAGAAAGUGUGGAAUAUUGGCCUUCCUUUUCAGAUUCAUGUGAAAGCUUGGAGAAAAGAACACAGACUAAAAGGAAUAUAAAUCCAAAAGAAUGAGUGAAAUGGGAAUACACAAGGCAUGAGCAAUAAGACUGUUCUCUCAGAAACAAUGAGAAUAACUGCUCUACAUCUUACAAACCAGAAACUUACACGUUGUAUCUCAUUAAAUUUUAUUUUGAAUAUUGAGAACA
ensembl:lncRNA LINC02468 long intergenic non-protein coding RNA 2468